rnacentral:ncRNA from 1 species
UACCUGGUUGAUCCUGCCAGUAGUCAUAUGCUUGUCUCAAAGAUUAAGCCAUGCAAGUCUAAGUACGAGCUCUCGUACAGUGAAACUGCGAAUGGCUCAUUAAAUCAGUUAUGGUUCAUUUGAUCGUACAGUUUACUUGGAUAACUGUGGUAAUUCUAGAGCUAAUACAUGCGAGAAGCGCCGACCUCGCGGGAGGCGUGCAUUUAUCAGACCAAAAACCGGCCGCGUCUUCGGGCGCGUUCGCCUUGGUGACUCUGGAUAACUUUGC